rnacentral:rRNA from 1 species
AUGAACGCUGGCGGCGUGCUUCACACAUGCCAGUCGAACGAUGAAGCUCAGCUUGCUGGGUGGAUUAGUGGCGAACGGGUGAGUAACACGUGAGUAACCUGCCCUUAACUCUGGGAUAAGCCUGGGAAACUAGGUCUAAUACCGGAUAGGAGCGCCUACCGCAUGGUGGGUGUUGGAAAGAUUUAUCGGUUUUGGAUGGACUCGCGGCCUAUCAGCUUGUUGGUGAGGUAAUGGCUCACCAAGGCGACGACGGGUAGCCGGCCUGAGAGGGUGACCGGCCACACUGGGACUGAGACACGGCCCAGACUCCUACGGGAGGCAGCAGUGGGGAAUAUUGCACAAUGGGCGAAAGCCUGAUGCAGCGACGCCGCGUGAGGGAUGACGGCCUUCGGGUUGUAAACCUCUUUCAGUAGGGAAGAAGCGAAAGUGACGGUACCUGCAGAAGAAGCACCGGCUAACUACGUG